GUGGGGAAUAUUGGACAAUGGGCGAAAGCCUGAUCCAGCAAUGCCGCGUGAGUGAUGAAGGCCUUAGGGUUGUAAAGCUCUUUUACCCGGGAUGAUAAUGACAGUACCGGGAGAAUAAGCUCCGGCUAACUCCGUGCCAGCAGCCGCGGUAAUACGGAGGGAGCUAGCGUUGUUCGGAAUUACUGGGCGUAAAGCGCACGUAGGCGGCUUUGUAAGUUAGAGGUGAAAGCCUGGAGCUUAACUCCAGAACUGCCUUUAAGACUGCAUCGCUUGAAUCCAGGAGAGGUGAGUGGAAUUCCGAGUGCAGAGGUGAAAUUCGUAGAUAUUCGGAAGAACACCAGUGGCGAAGGCGGCUCACUGGACUGGUAUUGACGCUGAGGUGCGAAAGCGUGGGGAGCAAACAGGAUUAGAUACCCGAGUAGUCC
rnacentral:rRNA from 1 species